rnacentral:rRNA from 1 species
AGAAUCAACGCUGGCGGCGUGCCUAACACAUGCAAGUCGCACGAGAAAGGGACUUCGGUCCUGAGUACAGUGGCGCACGGGUGAGUAACACGUGAAUCAUCUACCUCCGAGGUAGGGAAUAACCUAGAGAAAUCUGGGCUAAUACCGCAUAACACUUACGAGUCAAAGCAGCAAUGCGCUUGGAGAGGAGUUCGCGGCAGAUUAGUUAGUUGGCGGGGUAAUGGCCCACCAAGACGAUGAUCUGUA